rnacentral:rRNA from 1 species
AUUGAACGCUGGCGGCAGGCCUAACACAUGCAAGUCGAGCGGAUGACGGGAGCUUGCUCCUUGAUUCAGCGGCGGACGGGUGAGUAAUGCCUAGGAAUCUGCCUGGUAGUGGGGGACAACGUUUCGAAAGGAACGCUAAUACCGCAUACGUCCUACGGGAGAAAGCAGGGGACCUUCGGGCCUUGCGCUAUCAGAUGAGCCUAGGUCGGAUUAGCUAGUUGGUGGGGUAAUGGCUCACCAAGGCGACGAUCCGUAACUGGUCUGAGAGGAUGAUCAGUCACACUGGAACUGAGACACGGUCCAGACUCCGACGGGAGGCAGCAGUGGGGAAUAUUGGACAAUGGGCGAAAGCCUGAUCCAGCCAUGCCGCGUGUGUGAAGAAGGUCUUCGGAUUGUAAAGCACUUUAAGUUGGGAGGAAGGGCAGUAAGUUAAUACCUUGCUGUUUUGACGUUACCGACAGAAUAAGCACCAGCUAACUCUGUGCCAGCCGCCGCUGUAA